AUUGAACGCUGGCGGCAGGCCUAACACAUGCAAGUCGAACGAGUGGCGGACGGGUGAGUAAUGUCUGGGAAACUGCCCGAUGGAGGGGGAUAACUACUGGAAACGGUAGCUAAUACCGCAUACCAUCGGAUGUGCCCAUAUGGGAUUAGCUAGUAGGUGGGGUAACGGCUCACCUAGGCGACGAUCCCUAGCUGGUCUGAGAGGGUGACCAGCAACUCUGAAACUGAGAGACGGUCCAGACACCUACGGGAGUCAGCAGUGGGGAAUAUUGAACAAUGGGAGCAAGGCUGAUGCAGCCAUGCCGCGUGUAUGAAGAAGGCCUGCGGGUGGUAAAGUACUUUCAGCGAUGAGGCGUUGCUCGCAGAAGAAGCACCGGCUAACUCCGUGCCAGCAGCCGCGGUAAUUC
rnacentral:rRNA from 1 species